rnacentral:piRNA from 1 species
UGGAUUCUCUUCUUUUCAGAACAGCCUUGC